UGGGGAAUAUUGGACAAUGGGCGAAAGCCUGAUCCAGCAAUGCCGCGUGAGUGAUGAAGGCCUUAGGGUUGUAAAGCUCUUUUACCCGGGAUGAUAAUGACCGUACCGGGAGAAUAAGCUCCGGCUAACCCCGUGCCAGCAGCCGCGGUAAUACGGAGGGAGCUAGCGUUGUUCGGAAUUACUGGGCGUAAAGCGCUCGUAGGCGGCUUUGUAAGUCAGAGGUGAAAGCCAGGAGCUCAACUCCAGAACUGCCUUUGAGACUGCAUCGCUUGAAUCCCGGAGAGGUGAGUGGAAUUCCGAGUGUAGAGGUGAAAUUCGUAGAUAUUGGGAAGAACACCAGUGGCGAAGGCGGCUCACUGGACUGGUAUUGACGCUGAAGUGCGAAAGUGUGGGGAGCAAACA
rnacentral:rRNA from 1 species